rnacentral:lncRNA from 1 species
AUGAGAUGCUAACAAUUGUGCUAUGUUUUAAAGAUUGCACAGCUAGGAAGAAGAGAGAAGGGAGGAGCCAUGGAGGGAGAUACAUCCUUCCAGGUCAUGACCUCGGUGACUAUCUCUUCUGACCUCCUACUGGCAAGUCAGUAAAGCACUCCCAUUAUGUAAUCACCUUCCAAAAGCCCCACCUGUGAGCACAUGAGGCCUCUGGAGGACGUUCAAUCUAAACCACAACAGAGUCACUUAACCUUUUCAUGCUUCAGAGUUGGGAAUCAAAUGAAUCGAUGCGGAACCCUAGAGGAUGAUGAUAUCGCCGAAAACCCACUACGCUGCCGGCUCAGAGAGAAGAAACUGAAAAUGCGCAUGUAG